GGGAGAAGGGUAGUUAAGGAACUCGGCAAGUUGACCCCGUAGCUUAGGGAUAAGGGGUGCUCUCGAAAGAGAGCCGCAGAGAAUAGGCCCAGGCGACUGUUUAGCAAAAACACAGCUCUAUGCUAAAUCGAAAGAUGAUGUAUAUGGGGUGACACCUGCCCGGUGCCGGAAGGUUAAGAGGAGGAGUGAGAGCUCUGAAUUGAAGCCCCGGUAAACGGCGGCCGUAACCAUAACGGUCCUAAGGUAGCGAAAUUCCUUGUCAGGUAAGUUCUGACCCGCACGAAUGGUGUAACGAUCUGGGCACUGUCUCAACUACCCGCCCGGCGAAAUUGUAGUACCGGUGAAGAUGCCGGUUACCCGCGACUAGACGGAAAGACCCCAUGGAGCUUUACUGUAGCUUAAUGUUGAAUUUCGGUAUUUCAUGUACAGGAUAGGUGGGAGACUAAGAAGCAGGGGCGUCAGCUUCUGUGGAGUCAACCUUGGGAUACCACUCUUGAAGUGCUGGAAUUCUAACCUGCGGCCGUGAAUCCGGUCGGGGGACAUCGUUAGGUGGGCAGUUUGACUGGGGCGGUCGCCUCCCAAAGAGUAACGGAGGCGCUCAAAGGUUCGCUCAGCAUGGACGGAAACCAUGCUCUUGAGUGUAAACGCAAAAGCGAGCCUAACUGCGAGACUGACGGGUCGAGCAGUAACGAAAGUUGGAGUUAGUGAUCCGGCGGUAUGUGAGUGGAAAUGCCGUCGCUCAACGGAUAAAAGCUACCCUGGGGAUAACAGGCUGAUCUCCCCCAAGAGUCCACAUCGACGGGGAGGUUUGGCACCUCGAUGUCGGCUCAUCGCAUCCUGGGGCUGUAUUCGGUCCCAAGGGUUUGGCUGUUCGCCAAUUAAAGCGGUACGCGAGCUGGGUUCAGAACGUCGUGAGACAGUUCGGUCCCUAUCUGUCGUGGGCGUAGGAUAUUUGAAAGGAGCUGUCCCUAGUACGAGAGGACCGGGAUGGACGCACCUCUGGUGCACCAGUUGUCACGCCAGUGGCACAGCUGGGCAGCUAAGUGCGGAUCGGAUAAACGCUGAAGGCAUCUAAGCGUGAAGCCGUCCUUAAGAUAAGAUAUCCCAUCAGGUCAACUGAGUAAGACCCCUCAAAGACUAUGAGGUUGAUAGGCCUAAGGUGUACGCAUGGUGACAUGUUCAGCCUGCAGGUACUAAUCGGUCGAGGGCUUGACC
rnacentral:rRNA from 1 species